GUGUUCGCUUCAGCAGCACAUAUACUAAAAUUGGACCGAUACAGAGAAGAUUAGCAUGGCCCCCAUACAAGGAUGACACACAAAUUCACGAAGCGUUACUUACUGGA